UACGAAGGGGGCUAGCGUUGCUCGGAAUCACUGGGCGUAAAGCGCACGUAGGCGGAUUGUUAAGUCAGGGGUGAAAUCCUGGAGCUCAACUCCAGAACUGCCUUUGAUACUGGCGAUCUCGAGUCCGGGAGAGGUGAGUGGAACUGCGAGUGUAGAGGUGAAAUUCGUAGAUAUUCGCAAGAACACCAGUGGCGAAGGCGGCUCACUGGCCCGAAACUGACGCUGAGGCACGAAAGCGUGGGGAGCAAACAGG
rnacentral:rRNA from 1 species